GCGGAUUUUAGGGUGCGGGGACUCCGCGCUGGGGUGGACGCGGAGCGAGGGCCGCGGGUGGAGCGGCCUCGGAUCACCCCGGCGCGGGGCGCGGCUGCCGGCGGGCAUCGCCGGGAACAACAAGGACCGCGGAACGCAGCGGGGUGCGGUGCCGGGUCCCCGGUCCCCACGGAGAACACGGACGGCGCUCCGCGGGGGCCGCUGGCACUCACGUAACAGUAGAAUCGGGGCGGUGGGAGGUGGUGGUUCGCAUUUUGGGGACUAUGGAAAAUGGGACGUAAUUUGGCCUUGAAACCUAAGGCCUGUCUAGAGUUGUUUUCUCGUCUUUGUCGUAAUAGUUAAUAAGAUUUUUUUUUUUUAAGGAAAGAGUUGCUCCUGUUCCAUGAAAGAUGCACCCUAAAGUUUUCGAGGCAUUAGAAAUUAGGUGGGUAACCUCAUGGAUACGAGGAGAUACCUUCAAAUCGUUGCAUAAUUGUGGGGCCAGGCCUCAAGGAGGUUUCUUCAAGAGGCAUUUUUAACGUUUAAGGAAACUGGAAGGAAAUCGGCUGUUGCACUUAUCAAAUGAUGCAAAUGUGACUUAUCUGGCUGAGAACAGCGAAUGUGUUGUGUUUAUAUUGCCAAUCAGCCUCUGGUUCAGCUUUGACUCCACUUUAAUUUUAUGCCCUAGUCUUUUCUAUCUUAACACACAGGCAUAAAAUAUAAAUUGGGCGGUGCUUGGAGUUUAUUUCAGUACAGUGUUUGAUAAACAUGCAUCCUGCAGACUUUAACGGUGUGGUGUGGGCUGACCCUGGCUGGAUGCCAGGCACCCACCAAAGCUGAUCUGUCAUCUGCCUUCGCAGCUGGACAGGGAAGAGAAAAUGUAACAAAGUUAAUGAGUUGAGAUAAGGACCGGGGGAGGUCACUCAAGAAAUACUGAAGGGCAAACAGACUUGAAUUGGGGAUAUUCAUUUAUUACCAACAAAAUCAGAGCCAGGAUAAUAAGAAGUAAAAUAAAUCUUAAAACUACAUUCCCCCCCACCUCUUUCUUCUUCCCAAGCUCUACCUCCUUUUCCCCCAGCAGGGAAGGGAAAUGGGAAUGGGGGUUAUGAUCAAUUCAUCACAGAGUUUUCCUCCCACUGCUCAGGAUGAGGAAUCCUUCCCGCAGGAGACAGUUCUCGAUUAACAUCUCCUGCAUGAGUUCAUCCCACAGGCAACAGUUCUGCACAAAAUGCUGCAAGGCACGGUUCACAGAGUCACAGAAUGGUUUGGGUUGGAAGAGCUGUUAAAGAUCAUCUGGAUGCAACCCUCUGCACCAGGUUGUUUGUCAUUAUUGGUGGCGAGCUGCUCACAAGUGGAGGCUUCCCUGUUCCCCAGCCUUCUCUGUUAUCUGCCUCAUUGAAGACACAGAACUCCAGGACAGUCACCUGCCAUGUCCCCUGCUGCUGCAGCUGCCAGUCCUGGGUUUGCUGCAGGACCUGCUCCCAGCAGGCAGUGUCCUCACCACGGAGCCAGCCCUGGGUUUGCUGCCAGCAGGCAGUGUCCUCACCAUGGAGCCAGCCCUGGGUUUGCUGCCAGCAGGCAGUGUCCUCACCACGGAGCCAGCCCUGGGUUUGCUGCCAGCAGAGUGUCCUCACCAUGGAGCUCGAGCAUGAGCCUGCUGCAGCUUGCUGUGCUGCCCAUCACCAUCCCCUGGAGCCUGUGAAGGGGCUCUGACCCAUCCAUCUGCACUUCUCCAGUUACUGCUGGUGCUCAGGGUGCUCCCUGAGAGAGCUGAAGACAGAACUGGCUUGGUGUUGGCAGGAAGCUUCAUACAGUUUGUGGGAAGCAAGGCUUGGAGAGGGGCCCGGGCUGUCACAGUGCCUGUGUUUGGGGUAGCAUCUGGCCUGAUGUCUGCCAGAACAAAUGGCUGGCCACUGAGACAGGCACGUUACAGCCAACACUGCACAUGCAGACAAAGGCACCAACUCGCUUCAGCCCAGGGUGCUUGGGGACAAAAGUGCCACAUGCACUCGUCUCCAGUUCCAGGGUGAAUUUACACAACCAGAGCUGGGAUGUGCACUGAACUGCCCGUGCACACAGGCAGCCACAAUGCCUGGGAGCCAAAGGCUUGAGGGCAAAGAAAGAUGAAUGCAGCUGUAAGAAAUACUUCCUUUGAUGACAAAACUGGUCACAACGAAUGAAGUAAUGAAACAAAGAUUGACCUUUACAAUUGUGUGUCAGUACACACAAUUCUUUUGAAGAAAUUUGCAUUAAAAAUGCUCAUUAAAUAAAGCAAAAUAUCUUUCAAAGAAGGUUUUUAUGGCAUUAUAAGAAUUUUACCAAGCCUCCACAUAGACAUUGCUGGGAUCUGUGUAACCCUGAAAAAUAAGGUAUUGGAGGAAUAUCUGUGAAACAAGUAUGGCAAUAUUCUUUUGGAGAAAUUUCUUCAUGAUAAGGCUGAAAUAUUGGAUAGCAAAGGAGUAGGAAAUACACAAACUGAACAGUGAAACGUGAUCAGAGAAUCUCAUUUGUUGCUUGGGGUCUGAAAACUGUAUCUGAACUUAAACUUUCUAAUGGUUCCUACUUAUAAAAAGAGAGUAUUUAAAAAAUGUGUUCAGACACACCGGGCUGAUGACUGACUGACAUGCUUUUUAUUCCAAUAUUAACAUGUAUCUUAGAGAAUCAUGUCCAGUGUAAAAAAUUCCAUGGUGUUGGGACCAGAAGAGGAAUGCACGGUUCUUGUGUUUGGUCUGUCUGUGCAGUGCUACACAGGGAAGUUUAGAGAAAGAUCAGAAGAGGGUCCAGAUACUCAAUCUGUGUCUUUUCUUUUUCAGUUGUACAAGGUCAGUAGGUUGGAACUGACCUAAUAUAUUUAAAUCAGUGAAAAUGUAAGGCCAGUAUCUCUACAGCUGCCUAAAUCUCAGAUAACCUCUCUCCUUAAAAACACCAGCCAAGUGCAGUGUAAUGUCGCUUACUUUGAAGCUGACAUUUUGCAUUGUACAGGUUUUCAGUUGCUCGUAAAACUUUGCCAGCUUUCACAAGUCUGAAAUUUUCCCUAUGGGGUGUUGGCCUCAAACUGAAUUUUUUUGUGGAGACUCCAGACACAGUUUUUUCAGCUGCCUCAGAUCAAAAUGCAGAUUACUUGCCCUUGUAGAGAAAAAACAAAGAAGAAGAGAAAAAGAAAAGAAGGAAAGAAAAAGAAGAAAGAGAAAAAAAAGGAAGGAUAAGAAAAAAGGAAAGAAAAAGAAAAGAGAAAAGGAGAAAAAUAAAUGAAAGAAAAGAUAAAACAAAAAGAAAGAAAAGGAAAAAAAGAGUUUUUUAAAUUGAAAAGCUAUAUAAAAAAACUUGAAAACAGAUCUUACAUUUAAACAGCAGGGUGGUUCUUGUGUUGGGCAGGAGUCCCCUGCAGCCUGUGGAGAACUGGUAAGUUAUUUGUUUGCAUUAAAAUCUCUGACAUGUCUUGGUUUACAAAUAUUCAGUAGGCUUCUUAAUCCUUAGUUGUACUUAGUUGUUAAAGGAAAGCUUUCACAGGCAAUUUUGUUUCUGGUGCAUCCAGAUUAAGUGCUGUGUAAUCUUAAAGGUAUUUUUAAUUAGGUAGGACGGUUAAUUAUUUAUUCUACAAUUUCAAAUAACAGCUCUUAGUUUGGACUCUCAUUGGUUGUGGGGGCAGGGAGUGGGGGCAAACAUUAAAAAAUCCAUGACUUCCUCCAUAAUUCUGUAAACUCACAUUUCAUUUACCUUAUUUGCCCGUGAAUCAAAGAUACAGCCUGGAGUUGUUGGUGAGUACAUGUAACAAAGGUAAAAGGACUGGUAAAUGUUCAACUGACACAGUGUUAAAGUCAGCACUGAUGGAUCUUGGAAAAGAAAAGGUAGAAAAGAUUUGGAGUGUUAAGAGUUCCUUUCCUCAGCUGGUGGAGCUGUAGAUGGCCCUGAGGUUUAUCUGCUUUGGUAACUAUAUGAGUAUUGUGUUUUGAAACAGAAACAGCCCCUCCCUGUUUCUCUAGUAAAUCCUUUAACAAGAGAGCAGGACAUUGCAAACCAAACCAUUACACGGAGGGACCAGCCUUCUUUUUGGGGAGACUUCAGUGAGACAACAGUGAGUUUUAGUGUUUGUCAGUUCAAAGCUGACAAAGUUCAAUUAACUGUACUCCCCUUGAGUGGAUGGGAGCAGCUUUCACCAGCCCGUAGAGCAGCCAGGUUGCUCUGGAGUGUACCAAGAGUCCAGUUUCCUGGGAUGUUAUGUGUCUAAACAGACACUUUCCCAUAAGGCUCAAAAUGCUUUCAACGACAAAAUGUCUGGUUUUAACUGCAAAAAUAAAUUCCCAGCAUGAACACAGGUUGGUAGAACAGCAACAGUGUGAAGUAGCAAUGAAUUUAAAGGAGGAAUUAAGCUUUUAGAAAAAUGGAAGUAAUUUAAGAUCCCAGUUUCCAAACACUUAAAGCACAAGCUCACCUUCAAGUGCACAAGUGUCCCAGCAGUGUUGACAGGACAAUUUGUGUGCCUGAAGCACACAAGUGGAUGGUUCACAGGGCUGUACCAAUGUUUUUAAUACAUGCUAACAGAAAACAAGACAGGAGGCAAAGAGCCAAAACCAUAUGGAGAAUAUGUGAAUGCUUGUGAUUGCUGUGGAAGGACUAAUUAUACCCCCAUACCUCUUUCUGGUGUGAAGUAUGACUCCAUGUUAGAUUUUUAAAGGAUUAAGUUGUAUACAAUUACUGCCAACACAAUAAAUGGGAGACAAUUUAAAGAAAAAAAAAGAAUUGUUGCUAAACUUUGCUAUCAACAGCAUUUUGGCUGUAGCCAAGAAAAAGUACAAAAGAUUAUUCUAUUUCUGUAUGCCCAGUGCUAGUCACCAAGGUUAAAAAAAGCUGCUUUAAUGAAAACUUGCAAAAGCUGAGACUUAACUCUGUUGUGUGGUAGUUAGGAUGAUGUUGCAAAUGAAGUAUUUUGAGAUACAUAAUAGAUUACCUAAUCAAAUGGAUGAUUAAGCAAAACCGGGAAGAGAAAUUAUUUCAGAGAACCCUAAGGUGCUUUUGCAGGAGAAAACACUUUUCAGGUCUUUACUGAACAACAAAUAAAUGAAAAUAACUAAAUAUAGAAAAGUUUAAUGUUUGGCAGGAGAAGGGGUUGUCUAAAUAACAUAAUGAAUCCAGUCUAGUAUGUUGGAUUUUUUUACAAAUGCCCACCCAGAGGCAAAAAGGGAGAGCUGCUGCCCUGAUUCAUUUGAAUCCUUAGGAUUGUGUAACAUGAGACUUAAUUAAGUGAAUCUUGAUUUUUUUUCCCCCAACGCUACUGAAAUAGUAAAAAAAACUAUACUAGGCUUUAGAAAGAAAAUGUUUGAACAGAAAAGCUUGUGUUUUAUAAAUGUAUAGCAUGCAAUUUCUUGAUGAAGCCUUCCUCAACACGAGUAAAUAACAUAUAUUAACAUUAUUCAACUAAAAUAUUUCAACAGUUUUCAUCUGUGUUCGAGCACAGUGUUCCAGUGCCUUGUUUUAUAAAAGACAUUGAAGAAUAUAUAUUUAUUUAAAUAUUUGAGGUAAUUCCUUGAACAAGAUGUUUGUUCCUUGGUAACAAAAUUCUCUUGCUAAUUUUGUUCUUUCUUCAUUGCAUAUAUAGUGCCCAUGUUAGGCGUUCUUGUUUGGUUGGUUUUUAAUCCUUUCAGGGUAAGAAAGGAGAAUUUAUUUAUACUUGUAUCAUUUACAAAGUUUUUGACUAUUACAGCUUCUAUGUUAUUCACCAUAAACCAAAAUUUCUGUAGAAUUGGUUAUUCUAGCUGGGUUUUUAGUCUGGAAAAUAUGAAACAUGCACUUUUACUACACCAUGGGGUGGACUGGAGAUGGAUGGAACAUUGGACGAGCACGUACAGAUGGAGCUUUACAGAAACAGAAGCAGCAACACGAAGCCAGAGCACAAUAGUGAUUUUAGCACCGUGGUAAGGGAACAUCAGCCACUAAGGCAGCUGUGCCAGAAGAACGAUGGCAGUGGAAGAGCUGAUGAAGGAGCGGUGCUCACAGGGCCUGGUGGGGUCAGGAAAGGGCAGCUGGACCUCGUGGCUGCCCACGGGCCGUGCCCGGCCAGGCGGGGCGGGAGCUGGGGCCGGCACUCGGGGCUUUGCCGUGCUGGGUCAGGGAGGGCGUUUGAAGCUUUAGAAAUGUUUAGCCCCAGCCUGGCAGCAAGAGGUGACCCAGAACGGCACGGGCGGCGCGGCUGGGACUUUACCCGGGCAGAAACACUGAUGGGAAAGGGGGCGGGGACAAGUUUAAACCUUUCCUGAGGCAGGCUGGAGGCUCAUCCACAUGACUCAGCACGGAAAAACAGCAGGAACCCUUUCUGUAGCACUGAGCUAGAAGGUAGCACUUUUCAAAGUGCUGCAAAACGAAUGCAAUAAAAAUAUAAUUUAAAAUUC